AAUCUACUCCCUCCGUUCCAAAUUACUCGUCGCAGAAAUGAAUGUAUCCAGAACUAAAAUACAUUUAGAUACAUUCAUACCUGCGACAAGUAAUUCAGAAUGGAGGGAGUAGCUG
rnacentral:pre_miRNA from 1 species